CAAACCCAGUGGUGCUCAACUCUACCACCGCACUGCAUCAUUUGACCUGAUCCAGCUUCAAGUUGCUUCCAUCAUACUCCCAUAUCCUUAGUAUAUCUAUUCCACACGUUUGUUAUUUCUUUUUUUUUCUUUAAGGUGAGGGCGGGGAUGUCUUGCUAAUUUGCUCAGGAUGGUCUCAAACUUGUGAUCUUCCUGCCUUAGCCUUAGUUGCUUGGAUUACAGACGUAUGCCACCAGGCUGGGCUCCAUUGAAUCGCGUUUGCCUGCAAAAGUUGUUACCGCUGUUGACUGGUGCGGUUGUCUCCCCUUUUUAUAGUUUUGGUGAUGGAAUAUAAGGGGGAAGGGUUGGGACACAGGUGGGCCAAAUAAGUAAUCUGGGCAGGAAGGACUUCAUUAUCACUUCUUUGGGAUGGGCUAUCUCCAAAUCUGUUGGGGGCUGUUUCCUGGGUUCCAUUAACAUUUCUUUGGGGGUGGACUUUGGCCUAGGGCCUUUCUGGGACUUCAUUAACAUUCCAUGAGUUGUCCUGUGCUUCCCGGAAUCAUUAUCAGCAUGGCCUCCAUUUUAGAUUUCACUCAAUAUGAUGUUAGACCGGAUUUACCUAACUACACUGACUACCUAAUUUUAAAUCUGGCUUCAUUCCCCCCUCUAAUUUGGGGAACUCCUUACUGCUGUAAGGAAAGGGGGCGAAGAUCCUUCUGGCUUCUUCAGGCUGAAAAGGGACGGUGUGGGGCAAGCAGUUUGGAGUCCCCCUUUAAAAAUCGGCUCUAUCGAAUGGUCCAUGAUAGAAGUCCGAUUGAGAAGUAAUAGGCUGGAAGGCCAUUUGAGUGAUGGGUAGUCUAUAAGAGAAACAAGAAUUUAUUAGUACUGGAACCAGAUUGAUGCAACAAUAAAUGCCACAGCACAGGAAUAUGCCAAUGAGUAUGAUGACAAAGACAAAGACUAACAAUGUUUUCCACCAGGAAGUACCAGAGAACCAGGAGCUAAGAUAUUGUUUCCAUGACAAAGUUGCUGAGGACAUGGCUUCUAUCUGAGCAUGUAAAUCUUUAAGGAUAUUUGUCACAUUGUCAGAAUUGUCAGGGAUGUAAACACAACAUUUAACUUUUAGGGUUACAGUUGUCCUUCCCUUAAGAUACAGUUUAAUAAUUUAAUGUCAUCUGAUCUUGCAAAAUCCUUUUACUAGUAUGACCUCUGUGUCUAAUAGAGAAAUCUUUAAUUCUGUUACUUAGGGCUGGAUAACCAUAUUGGUAAACACUGAGCCUACCUGUGUAGGUUAGAAAUAGCUGUAGGCUUUAAAC
rnacentral:lncRNA from 1 species